rnacentral:lncRNA from 1 species
UCAUUUCAAACCCAUAAAUGGCAUAUCAUACACAGAAUUCCAACCACCAUAGGCAUCCAAAAGUAUGUGGAGAAUACUGGCCACUGGAAGAAGAAAUCUUGGAAUGAAGAAAAGAUCAAGGCGGGUCGCAGACGAGAACAUCCUCCACAAUCUGGAUAACUUGUCGACCGUCAAUAGAGAAAGAAGAUCUGGAGGAGGAUGGCAUAGAGGUGGUCUUGUAGCAGUUCUGUAUGGGAUCAUACGCGCUCCAUUCUCGAUGAUUUCGUGUCUGUCGGACCCUCGGAUGAAUGGCGCCGACAGCAUGUGGAUGUCUGCAGAGCUGCCACAGAUUUCAGAGGUGAAUCAUCUCAUGGUUAUAGACAGCAUGCGCUAUGCCAUUUUGAUGUGAAACAUACUGCAAGAAAACCAUGCCUACACAACAUGGUUCAAGAAACACGGUUCAGGAAUAGAUGUCUGAUGCAGUUUUACUGGUUUCCAGUUUGCAUACCUUUGUCUCAUUUACUUAAAUUUUGCACAUUUCUAUAGGGUUUAGGCAUGGUCAUCAUAAGCAGAUAUAUCUGCACACACACAUUAACAUUUGUGUUGUAAUAAAAGCACUUUUUAAGCCAAAUAGUUGAUUCCUAUAGCAACAAACAAACAAACCAAAUGUUUUCUUGAAUAAUAAAUAUGAGCUCAUCUACCUGAAUCUGUGUUGUAAAUGAGUGAAAUGAAUAUUCUCAUGCUGGAAUUAAAUUAUUUAUGAAAGUAACUAGCAUAUUCUAUUUGUAAAUAUUUCCAAAAUAGGUACCCUUGAGCAAUUUAGGUAAUUACUACCAUAAACAUGCAAAUGAUAAAGUAUCUAGUGUCAAUUAUUGAGCGCAAAGAACACAUAAUUAGAUAGUUUUAACAAAGGAAGUGGUUUUCCCGCUAGAAUGGGUUGGAUGGAUCUGAUCUACCAAGUGAUUUGGUCAUUCUUCUUCUUCAUCUCUGUAGGUCAACAAAACAGACGCUGGCUAGUGUAGCGGCCGGCAGAAAGGGUGCAAUAGCCAAUGCAACUCCAGGGGAAAGACAGAACUUACGUAUGUGAGGGGGAAUGAAAGUAAAACAUUUAAAGGGGGUAGAUAUUGGUGAAUGUAAGUAGAAAACUGUAUCGCUGAAGGAUGUCAAAGGAGAGUUUUGACUCAUUUUUCUCUAACUCUUAGUUGGCUAGUCAUAUCGCAUAGAAAUUGUGCCUGGAGCUGUCUCAGACUCUCAAAAACUUGGGCCUUUGUAGAGGUACUAAUUACCAGAACUUGUUCCUCAAAGUCAUAUGAUAUAUCGAGCUACUGUCCCACUACUAGGAGUUUGUCGACUUAUCUUUUGUAGCUGAUAAUGGGGAGAGUUGAACAUUUCUUGUAGCACUAGAGCCGAUCUCCUACUAGGUCUUCUAUGCCAUUCUUUGGUCAUCCUUGCUUGAUGAGUCCUGAACAGGCUUUCUGCAUCAGGUCAUCUAUUUCAACCCUUUCACAUGUAUUGAGGCUGAGCACGAUUGUGAUUGUAGAUUGAAAGAAUAUCUACUUAAUUUGGUUAAAUAUGUUAAUUGUAGGUAAAUCUCGGAUUGGAUGAAAUUGGAUUAAACUUGUACAAAAUUGAAGAAUUGGGACCAAAAUAAUCAAGUCUAUAAGUUGAUGACCUGACAUGCAAAUAAAAAGGACCUGCAAUUCAAAAGAAAUUAAUGUGGAGGACCAAAGUGCACUAAGCUGAAACAAAUUCCUAAUUUUACUUAAAUUCUACAUGAGAGAUGCUUUAGGACUUUUCUAGAAUUAUUGUAGACUUGUAUAUAUAGUUUUAAUCAUCCUUUUUUAUGCAAUACACGAUUUUAGAGAGAAAAAUACAUAAA